CCUACUACAAGUUCUGAGACAGGUCCCAAGAAAGAAGUAGAACAGAUUCUGAGACAAACACCGAGAAAGAAGUAGAACAGAGCAGUUCAAGCUAGCAGCUACAUGCACUUGACACUCCCAGGAUUGCCUUUAUUUUACCGAACAUUUUAGAAGAAAAUUUACAUAUGAGACUUGAGAUCUUCAGAGUACAAAAGAGAGUUCCAAGUUGGGUUCCUCGGAAGAAAAGUGUCCUG